rnacentral:siRNA from 1 species
UUGAUUCUGGUGCUACCCUCG